rnacentral:piRNA from 1 species
AGCCAGACUGGGGCCCUCUCU